rnacentral:rRNA from 1 species
ACGUUCGGAUCGCAGCCUGCAACCCGGCUGCGUGAAGCUGGAAUCGCUAGUAAUCGCGGAUCAGAAUGCCGCGGUGAAUACGUUCCCGGGUCUUGUACACACCGCCCGUCACACCAUGGGAGCCGGAAACGCCCGAAGCCAGUGGCCUGACCGUAAGGAGGGAGCUGUCGAAGGCGGGUCCGGUGACCGGGGUGAAGUCGUAACAAGGUAAC